GGUUCCAUGGUGUAACGGUUAGCACUUCUGGACUCUGAAAUCCAGCGAUCCGAGUUCAAAUCUCGGUGGAACCU
rnacentral:tRNA from 1 species